UACGUAGGGUGCGAGCGUUGUCCGGAAUUACUGGGCGUAAAGAGCUCGUAGGUGGUUUGUCGCGUUGUCCGUGAAAACUCACAGCUUAACUGUGGGCGUGCGGGCGAUACGGGCAGACUGGAGUACUGCAGGGGAGACUGGAAUUCCUGGUGUAGCGGUGAAAUGCGCAGAUAUCAGGAGGAACACCGGUGGCGAAGGCGGGUCUCUGGGCCGAUACUGACGCUGAGGCGCGAAAGCGUGGGGAGCAAACAGG
rnacentral:rRNA from 1 species